rnacentral:ncRNA from 1 species
AAAAGACUCAGUCCUAACCUUACUAUUGGUUCUUGCUAGACAUAUACAUGCAAGUAUCCGCACCCCAGUGAAAAUGCCCCCAAGCCUUUGCCCCAAAGCAAAAGGAGCAGGUAUCAGGCACACCCAAGUUUAGCCCAAGACGCCUUGCUAAGCCACACCCCCACGGGUAUUCAGCAGUAAUUAACCUUAAGCAAUAAGUGCAAACUUGACUUAGCCAUAGCAAUGCCAGGGUUGGUAAAUCUUGUGCCAGCCACCGCGGUCAUACAAGAAACCCAAGUCAAUAGCCAUUCGGCGUAAAGAGUGGUCACAUGUUAUCUGCAUCAACUAAGAUCGAAAUGCAACUAAGCUGUCAUAAGCCCAAGAUACACCUAAGUCCAACCUGAACACCAUCUUAGCCAUCAUGACCAAUUUAAACCCACGAAAGCCAGGACACAAACUGGGAUUAGAUACCCCACUAUGCCAGGCCCUAAAUCUAGAUACCCAAACAUCUACUUACGUAUCCGCCCGAGAACUACGAGCACAAACGCUUAAAACUCUAAGGACUUGGCGGUGCCCCAAACCCACCUAGAGGAGCCUGUUCUAUAACCGAUAAUCCACGAUUCACCCAACCAUCCCUCGCAACACAGCCUACAUACCGCCGUCGCCAGCCCACCUCCAGUGAAAGAACAACAGUGAGCUCAAUAGUCCCCGCUAACAAGACAGGUCAAGGUAUAGCCCAUGGGAUGGAAGCAAUGGGCUACAUUUUCUAAAAUAGAACAAACGAAAAAGGGCAUGAAAUCGGCCCUUAGAAGGAGGAUUUAGCAGUAAAGCGGGAUCAUAUUGGGCCCGCUUUAAGACGGCCCUGAGGCACGUACAUACCGCCCGUCACCCUCUUCAAGAGCCACCAACCCCAAAUAAAUAAUUUACCCGCCCCGAGCUAAAGACGAGGCAAGUCGUAACAAGGUAAGUGUACCGGAAGGUGCACUUAGACAA